rnacentral:rRNA from 1 species
GACGAACGCUGGCGGCGUGCUUAACACAUGCAAGUCGAACGAAGAGCGAUGGAAGCUUGCUUCUAUCAAUCUUAGUGGCGAACGGGUGAGUAACGCGUAAUCAACCUGCCCCUCAGAGGGGGACAACAGUUGGAAACGACUGCUAAUACCGCAUACGAUCUAACCUCGGCAUCGAGGAUAGAUGAAAGGUGGCCUCUACAUGUAAGCUAUCACUGAAGGAGGGGAUUGCGUCUGAUUAGCUAGUUGGAGGGGUAACGGCCCACCAAGGCGAUGAUCAGUAGCCGGUCUGAGAGGAUGAACGGCCACAUUGGGACUGAGACACGGCCCAGACUCCUACGGGAGGCAGCAGUGGGGAAUCUUCCGCAAUGGACGAAAGUCUGACGGAGCAACGCCGCGUGAGUGAUGACGGCCUUCGGGUUGUAAAGCUCUGUUAAUCGGGACGAAAGGCCUUCUUGCGAAUAGUGAGAAGGAUUGACGGUACCGGAAUAGAAAGCCACGGCUAACUACGUG